rnacentral:rRNA from 1 species
GAUGAACGCUGGCGGCGUGCUUAACACAUGCAAGUCGAACGGAAAGGCUCCUGCUUGCCGGGGUUCUCGAGUGGCGAACGGGUGAGUAACACGUGGGUGAUCUGCCCUGCACUUCGGGAUAAGCUUGGGAAACUGGGUCUAAUACCGGAUAGGACCGCUUUUUGGAUGGUGUGGUGGAAAGUUUUUUCGGUGUGGGAUGAGCUCGCGGCCUAUCAGCUUGUUGGUGGGGUAAUGGCCUACCAAGGCGUCGACGGGUAGCCGGCCUGAGAGGGUGUACGGCCACAUUGGGACUGAGAUACGGCCCAGACCCCUACGGGAGGCAGCAGUGGGGAAUAUUGCAGAAUGGGCGCAAGCCUGAUGCAGCGACGCCGCGUGGGGGAUGACGGCCUUCGGGUUGUAAACUCCUUUCGCUAGGGACGAAGAGUAAUUGACGGUACCUGGAGAAGAAGCACCGGCUAACUACGUG